UACGUAGGGGGCAAGCGUUGUCCGGAAUCAUUGGGCGUAAAGCGCGCGUAGGCGGCCCGGUAAGUCCGCUGUGAAAGUCCAGGGCUCAACCCUGGAAAGCCGGUGGAUACUGCCGGGCUAGAGUCCGGAAGAGGCGAGUGGAAUUCCUGGUGUAGCGGUGGAAUGCGCAGAUAUCAGGAGGAACACCAAUAGCGAAGGCAGCUCGCUGGGACGGUACUGACGCUGAGGUGCGAAAGCCAGGGGAGCGAACGGG
rnacentral:rRNA from 1 species